rnacentral:lncRNA from 1 species
GAAAAAGCAGUACAUCAUCAAACACACCAGUGUUUUCUUGCUUACAUAAAUAAAUAUUUUAAAUGUAUCAAUUUCCCCAUUCUCAGAUGUUCCAUUACACCAUAUUCACUUAUCAUUAGGGUUAUUUGAUGAUGUAUCAUUUGCUCUUCACAUACUCUAAAUUCGCACUAAAAAUAUGGAAAAUUAAAACAAAAGCGUAAUAAUUCAUUUCUUCCACGGGUUAGGGGGAAAAAAAAUAAAAAGGAUUAUAUCUUUUUCUAAAUAAAAUUGUAAAAUCAUGCCUGGCCCCAUUCUGUCUGCCUUCAUCCACGCAGAAUAUCAAGGCAAAGAAGUUCUCAAAUUACUACAUUAAACUCCAUCUGUGGUACCGGCCUUGGAUUUAGAGAGCCAUGUUCAGAUUGUAACACAUUGUUGACAAGGGUAACUUCGUCAUUGCCCAGCAUGUCCCUGCUGCUACCGCCGCUGCCGAUUGUGGCAGUGGCAGAGGCGGUGGUUUCAGACUCAAAAACAACCAUUUUACACCUUUCAGAGUGUGUUCUUCGAAAGAAAAUCACUUUAAAUUUUUCCCACUACACAAUGCAAAAUAAAACGCAGCGUUCUUUCUUCUUUCUCUUUCUGGGAAACUUAGAGAGAGAGAGAGAGAGAGAGAGA